UGCAGAGGCUUGCGCUCAGGCUUUCGAUCCGAACGACGACGUCCGUUCGGCUGACAUGUUCAAAAGAACAUGAAAUCGUCACGGAUUUAGCGCACUGAGCGAUCCACACGGCGCAAGCU
rnacentral:sRNA from 12 species